GAGCAUUUACCGAAAACUCACUAUUUUCGUAGGGGUUAACCCAUAGAUUUUGAAAAAAAUCAAAAAAAUUGAAAAUACUGUUUUAAUACAUAUUUGAAUCAAGUAAAAAAAUAUGAUGAAGUUCAAAGAGGUUUGGAACCUUUGUUGUCUCCGUUUCUCUAGGGAAUAGCAAUUUUAUAGUGGUUAGUCUAAUGAUUUAGGGAGUAUUUGCAGUUUUCCUAAAUUAAUGGAUAAAAAAUUAGAACGAUGUCCAUGUACCAUGAAAAGAAGUUUAUCAUACAUAAAUACAAAGUUAUAAUGUGGUUUUAAAUUUUAAAACAAAUUUAGAGAUUAUAGGCUUCAAAUAUAGAGCAUUUACCGAAAACUCACUAUUUUCGUAGGGGG
rnacentral:lncRNA from 1 species